rnacentral:rRNA from 1 species
GGCGUAAUGAUGGCCAGGCUGUCUCCACCCGAGACUCAGUGAAAUUGAACUCGCUGUGAAGAUGCAGUGUACCCGCGGCAAGACGGAAAGACCCCGUGAACCUUUACUAUAGCUUGACACUGAACAUUGAGCCUUGAUGUGUAGGAUAGGUGGGAGGCUUUGAAGUGUGGACGCCAGUCUGCAUGGAGCCGACCUUGAAAUACCACCCUUUAAUGUUUGAUGUUCUAACGUGGACCCGUGAUCCGGGUUGCGGACAGUGUCUGGUGGGUAGUUUGACUGGGGCGGUCUCCUCCUAAAGAGUAACGGAGGAGCACGAAGGUUGGCUAAUCCUGGUCGGACAUCAGGAGGUUAGUGCAAUGGCAUAAGCCAGCUUGACUGCGAGCGUGACGGCGCGAGCAGGUGCGAAAGCAGGUCAUAGUGAUCCGGUGGUUCUGAAUGGAAGGGCCAUCGCUCAACGGAUAAAAGGUACUCCGGGGAUAACAGGCUGAUACCGCCCAAGAGUUCAUAUCGACGGCGGUGUUUGGCACCUCGAUGUCGGCUCAUCACAUCCUGGGGCUGAAGUAGGUCCCAAGGGUAUGGCUGUUCGCCAUUUAAAGUGGUACGCGAGCUGGGUUUAGAACGUCGUGAGACAGUUCGGUCCCUAUCUGCCGUGGGCGCUGGAGAACUGAGGGGGGCUGCUCCUAGUACGAGAGGACCGGAGUGGACGCAUCACUGGUGUUCGGGUUGUCAUGCCAAUGGCACUGCCCGGUAGCUAAAUGCGGAAGAGAUAAGUGCUGAAAGCAUCUAAGCACGAAACUUGCCCCGAGAUGAGUUCUCCCUGAGACUUAGAGUCUCCUGAAGGAACGUUGAAGACGACGACGUUGAUAGGCCGGGUGUGUAAGCGCAGCGAUGCGUUGAGCUAACCGGUACUAAUGAACCGUGAGGCUUAACCUUACA